GUGAGGGCAUCUCCCCCGCUGUAUCCCCGUUCGGCCCCUGCGGGGUCCCUCUCUGGAGCACCCUUCGCCCAACCCGAGCAUCCCCCCGCGCCUCUCUCUGCUCCCGGGCAGCCACGCUUUGGAAGCUGCUUUAUUUCAAAGGCAGCUUUAAAGCGAGUUUCGAGGAAGCCGCCUCCUUUCCUCCUAAUUUUGAUUUGAGCUUCACAACGGGGUGGCGAGCGAAGGAGAUAAACAGUAGGUGAAGAACGGUGGUGAGCCCGAUAGCGAUCUGCACCUAAUCGUUCCGACUGCGUGCGCGGCUGACUCAGCGCCUCGUUGCCCUGUGCUUAGAGAGCCGCAGCGCGUUUACACGGCUUUGUUUGUGCUCCCCGGCGUUUCCACACGCCGACUUGGAAGUUGGCGUUUUAGGUAGCAGCCACCGAUUCCGCAUCGCUUUCAGCCGUCCAAAGUUGCCGGGCGCGCCGCUUGUCUCACUGACACCGGCACGAUCGCUGCUCCCACCCCGUGCGGAGCCACUGAGACCCUCUUACAACGUGGAGCACACCUGGAAUCCCGAAAUUGCUCCUGCAGGAACACCAGAGGCAGGACUUGCACAGCAGCUGCUGGCAGCUCUGGGCAGAGGGUGCUGAUGGGGUCCCGACUACUUCCAGCCGUAAAGGAAAGUUCACAACGCAGCCCAUCUCGACUUGCAAAGAGACAGAGUAAAAUCUGGCUAAAUUUGCCUGCAUUCCAUUUGUAAGCCAGGCUAUUCUCAUGUACUUUUCUAACUCAUUUUUUUUCUCCUGCUUUUUUACCCUACUAGUUUGCAGAGAUGAUGCAGCCUGGGAACGCUGAUAAGAACAGCAGACAAAGAUGUCAUCGAGUUAAAAAAAAGAGUUGGGGUGGUUCCUUGCUAGGACCUGAACACCAAAUGACUAUUGCCUAGGAUCCAAAGGGGAGACGUAAGCUUGCUGCAGAAUUCCUGGUCAGACUUGGAUGGUCCAGAACUGGCAGCCAAAUGCCUCUUGAGCACAAAGCCGAUCAGGACGUGUGCUUCAGGAAUGAGCUUUCCUACCUCUGGACAGUGACAGAACACUUCUGCUCCUACACGAUGAGUGUUCUGCUGGGAAAGGAGUCCCUCCACUUUGCGGUUGCUCUGUGAGUUAUCUUUUGGUGUAAGAAGGAAAAAAAAAAAGGGGAUUGAAGAGUUCUUGGUUGCCUGGCCUGCAUCCUUACCCCAGCCUUCAGAAUUCUGCUAGACUUUGUAUUGUCCUCACAACAUACUUCUAACAGUCUUCAGCAGGAUAUGUAAUAACUCCCAUUAACAUGGACAUUGAACUAAAGCUAACAGUUUUAGGGUUCUCAGAACCUGUCUCUUCCUGCUCUUCACCAACACUAAAAGCUGUGGUCAGAUUAGUCAGAUGAUCCAGAUGAAAGCUAACAGACCAAAAAAGAAGACUUCAGUUUUUAC
ensembl:lncRNA